rnacentral:rRNA from 1 species
UAGCUAGUUGGUAGGGUAAAGGCCUACCAAGGCGACGAUCGGUAGCUGGUCUGAGAGGAUGGCCAGCCACACUGGAACUGAGACACGGUCCAGACUCCUACGGGAGGCAGCAGUGGGGAAUAUUGGGCAAUGGGGGCAACCCUGAUCCAGCAAUGCCGCGUGUGUGAAGAAGGCCUGAGGGUUGUAAAGCACUUUCAGUGGGGAGGAGAGUUGAUUGGUUAAGAGCUGGUUAAUUGGACGUUACCCACAGAAGAAGCACCGGCUAACUCCGUGCCAGCAGCCGCGGUAAUACGGAGGGUGCGAGCGUUAAUCGGAAUUACUGGGCGUAAAGGGUGCGUAGGUGGUUUAUUAAGUUAUGUGUAAAAUCCCUGGGCUCAACCUGGGCAGGUCAUAUAAUACUGGUAGACUCGAGUAUGGGAGAGGGUAGUGGAAUUUCCGGUGUAGCGGUGAAAUGCGUAGAGAUCGGAAGGAACACCAGUGGCGAAGGCGGCUACCUGGCCUAAUACUGACACUGAGGCACGAAAGCGUGGGGAGCAAACAGGAUUAGAUACCCUGGUAGUCCACGCUGUAAACGAUGCCAACUAGCUGUUGGUUAUAUGAAUAUAAUUAGUGGCGC